rnacentral:rRNA from 1 species
CUGCCCACUGAUUAAUUAAUUAAAUGGCCGCAGUAUCCUGACUGUGCAAAGGUAGCAUAAUAACUUGUUUUUUAAUUGAAAACUAGAAUGAAAGAUUGAAUGAAAUAUAGACUGUUUCAAUUAUAAAUAAAUUAAAUUUAUUAUUUAAGUAAAAAAACUUAAAUUUAUUUUAAAGACGAUAAGACCCUAUAGAAUUUUAUUAAUAUCCAAAAUAUUUUUUUGAGGUAUUAAUUUGGUUGGGGUAAUUAAAAAAUUUAAAAAACUUUUUUUUUAUAGGACAUUUAUUUAUGAAUAAUUUAAUUUAAUUUUUAUAUUAGAAAAAUUAAUUACCUUAGGGAUAACAGCAUAAUUUUUUUUAAAAGAUCUUAUUAAUAAAAAAGAUUAUGACCUCGAUGUUGAAUUAAGAUAAAAUUUAAAUGUAGAUAUUUAAAAAUUUAAGUCUGUUCGACU